ACUUACGGCCACACCACCCUGAACACGCCCGAUCUCGUCUGAUCUCGGAAGCUAAGCAGGGUCGGGCCUGGUCAGUACUUGGAUGGGAGACCGCCUGGGAAUACCAGGUGUUGUAAGCU
ensembl:rRNA 5S_rRNA 5S ribosomal RNA